rnacentral:ncRNA from 1 species
UCGCAACCACACGGGAGCUCGCACCAGCGGGCUGAGAGGACGGCUCGGGGCCGUCGACCGUAGAACCUGACCGGGUAAUUCCGGCGUAGGGAGAUCAUCUCGUGAGCACA